rnacentral:rRNA from 1 species
UACGGGGGGGGCAAGCGUUGUUCGGAAUUACUGGGCGUAAAGGGCUCGUAGGUGGCCAAUUAAGUCAGACGUGAAAUCCCUCGGCUUAACCGGGGAACUGCGUCUGAUACUGGAUGGCUUGAGUUCGGGAGAGGGAUGCGGAAUUCCAGGUGUAGCGGUGAAAUGCGCAGAUAUCAGGAGGAACACCGGUGGCGAAGGCGGGUCUCUGGGCAGUAACUGACGCUGAGGAGCGAAAGCGUGGGGAGCGAACAGG